UGGGGAAUAUUGGACAAUGGGGGAAACCCUGAUCCAGCAAUGCCGCGUGUGUGAAGAAGGCCUAAGGGUUGUAAAGCACUUUUGUUGGGGAGGAAGUGUGUUGUGUUAAUAGCACAGCAUAUUGACGUUACCCAAAGAAUAAGCACCGGCUAACUCUGUGCCAGCAGCCGCGGUAAUACAGAGGGUGCAAGCGUUAAUCGGAAUUACUGGGCGUAAAGCGCACGUAGGUGGACUAUUAAGUUGGCUGUGAAAGCCCCGGGCUCAACCUGGGAGGGUCAGCCAAUACUGAUAGACUAGAGUACUUUAGAGGGUAGUGGAAUUUCUGGUGUAGCGGUGAAAUGCGUAGAGAUCAGAAAGAACACCUGUGGCGAAGGCGGCUACCUGGAAGGAUACUGACACUGAGGUGCGAAAGCGUGGGGAGCAAACAGGAUUAGAUACCCCCGUAGUCCCUGAGCGGGCUGGCAAGGCGCAU
rnacentral:rRNA from 1 species